CUAGAACAUCUCCUGUGAGGAGUGUCUGAGAGAACUGGGAUGGUUCAUCCUGAAGAAGACUCAGAAGUGAUCUCAUCAAUCUGUAUAAAUACCUGAAGGGAGGGAGUGGAGGAGAGGGAGAAAAGCACUUCUCAGCAGUGCCCACUGGUAGGACAACAGUGCACAAAAAUAAAAUCUCCUUGCCAAAGGACUUUCUCUGUUGCAUCCCAUACUCAUAUUUUUGAACCCUGUUCCCACAGGCUGCUUUUAAUAUCCUCUAAUUCUUGUAUUGGAGGACACAAUCAACAGUCAUGAGCCAUUUGUGUUGCUCAUCCUCUUGUAGUAAUGUCUGUUAUUUCCUUUUCCAUGAUCUCUUCUGUUGGCUGAAGUAUCAUAGAAUGGCCUGGCUGUGAAGGGACCUUAAAGAUCAUCUGGUUCCACCCCUCACCAUGGGCAGGGAUACUUGCCUGUAGAACAGGUUGCUUAAAGCCCUGUUAUUUUGUGUAUGAAGCUUCCAUGUACUUGCUGCCCUUCUCUGAUCCUUUCCCACUUCUGCUCUAUCCUAUCUGAGAUCAGAAAACUAGGACUACCCAUGUAAUUUAAGGCAGCAGCAAAUCAGAGAUUUAAACAGUACCACAACCUGCCUUUUUUUUCUUUCUUUAGUUAUAUCCCAAUAUUAGAUGUGCUUUCUUGUCUUGUUCUGAAUGUUUAAACUGAUGGUUUCCAGGACCUAUCAGAGUUGUGUGAUCUCAUUUAUGAGUAACUGCACAAAUUUACUUUCUGACUCAUAAUGUGGUUCUUGUACAAGGAUAUUUUAAUGUAAUAGCUAAAUCUGUGGCUGUUAAGCAGGAGCUACUUCCAAUCAGUAGGAUGAGAUUUUGCUAAAACAAAGGCUAUGUGGAUCAGAUAUAAAAAGUAGUAGAUUGUGGGGCAAUGCACAAGAAGGCAAAAAGAAGGUACUGCAUUGAUCAGUGUGUUUGUGUGGAUACACCAUUACUGGAGGACAGCAACUGGCCUAGUCUGACCCUUUUGUGUAUUUGUGCUCACCUGGGCUAUCAUUUACCUUUUCUCAUCACAGCUACAGAGCAGUGGUCCUGGUAAAACGGUGCUUAAACUCAACCUGAGGUACUGUGCUGAAGCAGAGAGCCCAUGAAGUAUGCUCCGGAUACUGUUCAGCCCACUGCAGCCUUGGAAGAGACAGGGUAGAGGGGAAGCACUCCGAGCAUCUGGACAGGUGGGAAGUGGCAUUUCCUAUGGAGGCUCCUGCUUUGAGCUGGUUGAGAGCAACCGUGCUGAGAGUUUUGUGAAGUGAGAACCCCUGUGGUUCGAGCCCUGUUGAGGAACAUCCCAAGUCCAAAGCAGGCAUUUCACUGCCCUGCCCUGGUGAGAUUAGCGUGCUGUUAUUCUCAGGCUUUUGGAUGAUCCUGAAGAAUGUCUGCUGGGCCUCUUGAGAGAACAGCUGUGCUUGUGCGACACUCCUUUGGACAACAAUACUCACUCAUUUUGUUCCCCAAACCUUUGCUUGGAAUCCAGCCCUUGAGACCAUUGUUGGUUCCAAUCCACACCAUGGCAGGAGGAUUUGAACCAGUGUGUAGGAAGAAGUUGAAGUGAAUGACUGUUCUGCAAUCACAGUCUGCUGCUUUCUGUGUGAGAGUUUUGUGGAUGUGGCCAUCUGAUAACAGCAUAGUGCUGAGAAAAGAGGUAUAACCUUGCUUUUGCACUCUUCCUCUUUCCAGCUCAGUUCUUUUCAUUUUCUUCAGCAACUGAGCAUUAUAGUCAAACUAAAAAGCGGUAUCUUGUCUUGCAAGAAAAAUUAACAUCUCCAACUGUUGUUCAAGUUGACGUUUUUUGAUCAGAGACCAGAAGCAAAGCCUGGCAUAACUGUAAGAGGAAGAAAUAUUUUGAAAUAUUCUACCAUCAUUUUUUGCCCCAUUUUCCUUUUACAUUUUUUUAAAAAAGCAGUUUUCUUGUUGUCUGGUACAGCUUUGUGCAUAA